AAUGAACGCUGGCGGCAUGCCUAACACAUGCAAGUCGAACGACAGCACAGGGAGAGCUUGCUCUUGCGGGUGGCGAGUGUCGGACGGGUCAGGAAUGCAUCGGAUACCACUUUUUCAUGGGGGAUAACGUAGGGAAACUUACGCUAACACCGCAUAUGUCCUACGGGUGUAAGCAGGGGUGCUUUUGACUUUUUGCGAUUGUAAGAGCUGAUGUCGGAUUAGCUAGGUGGCUGGGUAAAGGCCCAGCAAGGCGACGCUCCGUAGCUGGCCUGAGAGGAUGGUUAGCUACACGGGAACUGAGACACGGUCCAGACUCCUACGGGAGGCAGCAGUGGGGAAUCUUGCGCAAUGGGCGAAAGCGUGAUACAGCAAUACCGCGUGAGUGAUGAAGGACUUCGGGUUGUAAAGCCCUGUUGUUGGGAAAGAAAAAAAGCAGGUUAAUCCGCGGAGGUUAUGACGGUACCGAAAGAAUAAGCCCCGGCUAACUUCGUG
rnacentral:rRNA from 1 species